UCGGGUCGUCCACUUCCGUAAACUCUGAACAGAUAAACAUCAAUCGUGUUUAGUUCAAUAGAAGAUUUCAUCGACUUUUCCAACGUUAAAGUACACGAUCCAGCAAGCAACAGUGUAUAUUAUCCUUCUGAGCCAGCCCAUUUGUCGUUUUAACAAUUUCUAUCACGGUAGCAAGCGUGAUAAUUUCAAAUGAGUGUCUAUCGAACAUUAACGAAUGAACUUAACGAAACCCUCCAUUUUUCAUCAAGAAGCAUCAUACGCAUAGUGUGCUACAAACUACACGCCAACAAAUAACUACCACGAUUUCCCCAAAUCGUUUACUCCAGUUGCCACAAAUCAUUGAUAUUUAUUCGAGUUCCGGUGUGAAUGUCAUUGUUAGUGUCCAAGGCUGACUCGUCCCAAGAUGUGGAUUACUAGAAGACAUCACGAUCGGCAUGUCAGAGUGUCUUCUUAUUUUGAUAACAGGCUUGUUCCUGUUUCGCGGGACCUGCGGGACCGGUGAUCACCAGGGGUGGCAGCGUGACAUUGCGCGCGGCUCGAACGCCUAUGGUGUCGAGGGGCGGCUCAGCGGCGACCGGCCUCUGCGGGGGGACGGGCGACAGAGGCUACUGCCGCUAGGCUUCGUGCCCGUGGGCCCCGAACGUCGGCUAGAGACCGGACCUCACGGAGGAGGCAGUGCCGGGGGCGUGGCCCCAGGCGGGGGCGGCCAGCCGCUGGGCCCCGUAGCUCCUGUCGUGGGGCGCUCUCCCAAGCCGCACGCGGCUCGCGGCCUGGCUCCUGACUCUGCCACGGAAGAGAUCAGCCUAAGGCUGACCGUCGUCACACCCAGAAGCGGCAGCCCCGCGUCCGGAGACCGCCAGGAUGGAAGAGGCUCCGUCUCGUCGGACGGCCUCACCCAAGGACUGCGAGGGGGCGACAUUCUGGGAGCCCAGCAGUCCGGCGAAAAACCCGCUGCCGCCGUUGGCGGACAGGAGAUCGUCUUGGGCUUUCAGAGGAACAGUGCCCAAGCAGGCGGCGAGGAGGGUGAAACAGACAUCGCACCGAAGCAGUCCAAGACUUCGUCGGCCGUGCCUCAGCUCGGACCCCCGCUGGGAAGUGACCAGGCCUCGGAGGCUUCCCGUAAAGGUAGCGCCGUCAGCGGGCCGGGCCACCCUGCCGGCGUGACUAGCGAGCAAAGCGAGGGGCUGGGAGCUCCCCGCGUCGCCGGCCGAGCUGCGGUGCCGGAACAGCGCGGCCCGCCGGCGACAGACGGGGCCAGCCAGCCGGGGCCGCCCCGACUCUCCAUCGCCGAGGUUCUGGACUUUCGGCCGGCGCCGCCGCAGAGCUUGGCCGGUCA